CCCUUAGAUGUUCUGGGCCGCACGCGCGCUACACUGAACAUAUCAGCUUGUUUUUCCCUUCCUGAGAAGGACGGGUAAACCCCUGAGCCAUGUUCAUGGUAGGGAUUGGGGCUUGCAAUUAUUCCCCACGAACCAGGAAUUCCCAGUAAGCGCAAGUCAACAGCUUGCGUUGAUUACGUCCCUGCCCUUUGUACACACCGCCCGUCGCUACUACUGAUUGGAUGUUUAAGCGAGGUUCUCGAACUGCUAGCGACUUAGCUUCGGUGAGGUCGCAGUGUGGGAAGUGAACCUAGCUUUGGUGUCUAGAGGAAGUAAAAGUCGUAACA
rnacentral:rRNA from 1 species